GAUGAACGCUGGCGGCGUGCCUAAUACAUGCAAGUCGAGCGGACAGACGCUAAGCUUGCUUCUCUGAUGUUUGCGGCGGACGGGUGAGUCACACGUGGAUAACCUACCUAUAAGACUGGUAUAACUUCGGGACACCGGAGCUAAUACCGGAUGAUAUUUUGCACCGCAUGGUUCAAAAGUGAAAGUCGGUCUUGCUGUCACUUCUAGAUGGAUCAGGGCUGCAUUAGAUAGUUGGUAAGGUAACGGCUUACCACGGCAACGAUGCAUAGCCGACCUGAGAGGGGGAUCGGCCACACUGGAACUGAGACACGGUCCAGACUCCUACGGGAGGCAGCAGUAGGGAAUCUGCCGCAAUGGGCGAAAGCCUGACGGAGCAACGCCGCGUGAGUGAUGAAGGUCUUCGGAUCGUAAAACUCUGUUAUGAGGGAAGAACAUAUGUGUAAGUAACUGUGCACAGCGUGACGGUACCUAAUCAGAAAGCCACGGCUAACUACGUG
rnacentral:rRNA from 1 species